UACGUAGGGACCAAGCGUUGUUCGGAUUUACUGGGCGUAAAGGGCGCGUAGGCGGCGUGUUAAGUCACUUGUGAAAUCUCUGAGCUUAACUCAGAACGGUCAAGUGAUACUGAUGUGCUAGAGUGCAGAAGGGGCAACCGGAAUUCUUGGUGUAGCGGAGAAAUGCGUAGAUAUCAAGAGGAACACCUGAGGUGAAGACGGGUUGCUGGGCUGACACUGACGCUGAGGCGCGAAAGCUAGGGUAGCAAACGGG
rnacentral:rRNA from 1 species